rnacentral:rRNA from 1 species
GACGUAGGGGGCGAGCGUUGUCCGGAUUUAUUGGGCGUAAAGCGUGCGUAGGCGGCUGCGCAAGUCGGGUGUGAAACCCCGGGGCUCAACCCCGGAACUGCAUCCGAUACUGCGUGGCUAGAGGUAGGUAGGGGAGAUCGGAAUUCCUGGUGUAGCGGUGAAAUGCGCAGAUAUCAGGAGGAACACCGGUGGCGAAGGCGGAUCUCUGGGCCUUACCUGACGCUCAGGCGCGAAAGCGUGGGGAGCGAACAGG